rnacentral:rRNA from 1 species
GUACACUCCUGCGGGAGGCAGCAGUGGGGAAUUUUGGACAAUGGGCGAAAGCCUGAUCCAGCAAUGCCGCGUGAGUGAAGAAGGCCUUCGGGUUGUACAGCUCUUUUGUCAGGGAAGAAACGGUGAAAGCUAAUAUCUUUUGCUAAUGACGGUACCUGAAGAAUAAGCACCGGCUAACUACGUGCCAGCAGCCGCGGUAAUACGUAGGGUGCAAGCGUUAAUCGGAAUUACUGGGCGUAAAGCGUGCGCAGGCGGUUUUGUAAGUCUGAUGUGAAAUCCCCGGGCUCAACCUGGGAAUUGCAUUGGAGACUGCAAGGCUAGAAUCUGGCAGAGGGGGGUAGAAUUCCACGUGUAGCAGUGAAAUGCGUAGAUAUGUGGAGGAACACCGAUGGCGAAGGCAGCCCCCUGGGUCAAGAUUGACGCUCAUGCACGAAAGCGUGGGGAGCAAACAGGAUUAGAUACCCGGGUAGUCCCA